UUCCAUUCUCAACCACUUCGUUUUACUACUGCCGCAUCAAUUAUUUCCCAUGUAGAUUUCAUGAUCACUUUUCAUUCGACUCUCGUAUGUUUUGAAUAAAAAAAGUAAACUCACAAGCACUUUGAAGAUUUUCAUGAGUUUUUGAUAAAAUUGUUCGAGGAUUUCAACGGUUAUCGAUUUUGAAAUCUGCCUUUUCGCUUUAUAUCCACUUCUGCAGAAUACUUUCCCUCUCUUAAGGUGUGGUUACUGAUAUUACACAUGUUGCACCCUCUUCUUUUCCUGACCAGUAAUAGCAAAUGUCGAACCAUGCUCUCCUUCAAACAUUUAUUGGACCAAUCCUUUUCCGUCUGAUUUGUUAUGAUUGAAUUUAUCAUUUUCUUCCUCUGAAAAUUUGCCAUUUUAACUGAUUUAUUACAACCAACCCUUUCCUUUAUUGUUUCCUCUGUCUUAUUUUCCCCUUUAUUUGACUUAUUUUAUGCAGCCCAAAAAGCGUGUCUUCUGAUGUCCAUAACCCCAUCAUCGCACCUCUUUAAAUGUGUUUCAUCUACUUCUUAACUUCUAUUGUCCUUAAUCCCUCUAGGGUAUUUCAUUUCGGAGAGUAAUUUCUAUUAUGCAUAUGCCCCUGACUUGGAGGUUCUACAUUUCUUGGUACAGUCUUGCAGUGAUUUUGAUUUGGACUUCAAAUAAUAUAUGCCAAUUGAUUGUGUUCGCAACUAUGUAACUAUAUUUCUGACAGCUCCUAACUUCUUAAAAAAAAUAGGUUAAUUUAGAGCAUUUAAGAGUGAGGAUUGAAAAGAGGUUCCUUUUUUGUUGGCGGCAAAACUAUGAAUGUAUCAUAUUUGUGAGCUCCAUUGUGAUACAUUUAGAUUUAGAGGAUUUUACGAUUUUAGGUACGCUUCGAAGAUUUACAACUACUAUUUUAUUUUCGGUUACUUUGUGGCGUUCCAGAAGAUUUCUUUGAUAUCAUUACUAAGAAGAACAUAAUCAUUUUGACAUGGCAUGGAUCAAUGUCAAAUAGUGAAUGUAUUUGAAGUGCUUAAUAACUAUAGGCGCAUAUUUAUUGUGGCGAAAUUAUAUAAUCUAAGAAAAAUGUCUCUAUUGAUCCCCGACUGAUUUGAUUCUUACUUUGGCCCUUUAAGGCUUUAUGAUGUUGCAUCAGUUAUCGGUGAACAUUUUCAUUUGUAGUUGAUUCGGGAAUUUACGUAGACUUUGGUGGUGUCAUUACUUUGAUGGCAUACUAUGAUCGGGAAGAUAGCUUUGCGCAGUAAGCUAUAAAGUUUCUUCAAGAAAUGGCUUUUUCUUUUAUUAACACGGAUGUUUUUAGCCGGCUAUCGUUCUCAAAAUUUCUACUGCUCCAUCAGAUUCCCACUUUGAAAGACCAUUGCAUUUUCAAGUUCUGAAAAUUUAUUUGGAAAGUGAUGUUAUUGUGGGAGGCAUUUUGUUUAAUGGGAAAAGGGCCAAAUAUACCCAUCUGCUUUAGUUUAAUAGUUAAAUAUACCCUCCGUUAGUCAAAGUAAAUAUAUAUAUCCCUUCCGUUAGUCAAAGUAGAUAAAUAUACCCCUUCCGUUAAGAAAGUACACAAAUAUACCCUUCAGUCGAUAGAAUCCCCAAUUCUACCAUUAAUUACCUAAUUUAACUUUAAAAAAAGUCAUGCCCGACUUGCCCCGACCCGCAAAUUAAAUUUUUUCCACCCAAAUAUACCCACCACCACUAUAACCGACCCAACACAACGACCACCACCACUUUUACCACCACAACUUGUAAAUUCUUCAUAACCAUCCUUAACCACAACCCCAAUUGUUUUGUGCCUAAAACUUCAAGAGAUUGUUGAUUUUUAGUUUUUAAUUUUAGAUUGGAGGACCGUUGCUUACAAAGGAGGCUUGUGGCAGGGAUUUUCUAGCCUUUUUUAGCCUAAAGCUUUCAUUUUUAUUGAUUUUAAUAUUGCUAGCUACCUGGAUAUGUGAUACAGUGAUACUUGAAGAAAUUUAUCUCAGUUUGCUCCAAGCAAAGCUUUCUGUUAGAUACCUAAAUAUUUUAUAAAGUGUGAAAUAUUAUAAUAAUCAUAUUUGACUGGUGACAAUCAUGCUUUCUCUGGUAUUUUGCAUAUGAUAUUCAAUACUGUAUUAAGGAUUUAAUGUAUUUACUGAGAUCGAAUGAUCUUUUUUGUUUUGUUCAGUGAUGUCCGAGGACAUGGUUAAGGAUGGUUAUAAAGAAUUUACUGGUUGUGGUGGUGAUGGUUGUGUUGGGUCGGUUGUAGUGGUGGUAGGUAUAUUUGGGUGGAAAGAAUUUAAUUUGCGGGUGGGGGCGGGUCGAGCAUGGUUUUUUUAAAGUUAAAUCGGAUAAUUAAUGAUGGAAUUGGAGAUUCUGUCAACUGAGGGGUAUAUUUGUGUACUUUCUUAACGAAAGGGGUAUAUUUAUCUACUUUGUCUAACGGAGGAUAUAUUUAACUAUUAAACUAAAGUAGAGGGGUAUAUUUGACCAUUUUCCCUUGUUUAAUUGAUUUCUGUUCAUUGAGUUUUGUCUUUAAAUGUGAUUAUAGUUAAGUGUAAAUUUGGUUAAUGAUGUAUUAUCAAAAUGUUUAAAUUUUGAAAUUCUGGAUUUUAUUUUCAUUGUGUUGUUUAUAUGUCCAAUCUUUUCAGUAAUGGGAGCAAAAGAUCACGACUCAUUACUUUGUACGGAAAAGGGCCAAAUAUACCCUUGUAAUAUCGAAAAAGGUUCAAAUAUACCCCUCCAAUUUUGGGUUCAAAUAUACCCCUGUCAUUAUACUUUCGGUCCAAAUAUACUCCUUCUCCGUUAAAAAUGUCCAACAUGAACAUCAGGCCUGACGUGACAUUAACAAUACGGUGAGGUGAACACCACGUGUCGUGCCAGCUCACCACCCCAACCCUUAGUCUUUACAUCUCGGAGAAAACUUACUCGAGAGCUUUUAAAGUGACGAAUCAGAGAUAAUUAGAAGAUUACCUCGAUCUAUCUCUCCUCUCUUCAAUUCAUACUAGAAUGAACAAGUCUCUGAAGACACAUACUAGAACGAUGAAAAUGAAUAGCGAAUUCGAGGAAUUUGUGUGGCCUGCCGGAGAUCAUGAUUCAGAGGUGUUCUCAGAAAGUAGCAAAAGAAAUGAUGAAUCAAUUGUUGAUCUCAAAAACGAUUUUCUCGUUGCCGCAACACGAAUUUACAAUACCAUCCGUGAAAUUGAGCAAACCCAACAAGGUGGUCGUCGUGGUUGUUGAUUUCUCGUUGAUCAGCUGAUCAACAUCUUGUUAAUCCUCAGCAAGAAACUCUGAUUACAUAUUCCUCCAUGAUCGAAUCUUUCAACUUUGUUAACCCAAGAAACUCUCGCUCCGAGAAAUUCUUCUUGAAUGACCUGAUUAUCAUCCAGAUAUAGGAUGAUAUCAGUAGAUUUCUUACCAGAAAACAAACUGGUUAAAUUUGAAUCUUCUAUUGACGGCAAAUGAGUUGGGUGGUGAGGUGGCAUGCCACGUGGUGUCCACCUCACCGUUGUUAGUGCCACAUCAAGCCUGGUGUCCAUGUUGGACAUUUUAACGGAAGAGGGAUAUAUUUGGACCGAAAGUAUAUCGGCAGGGGUAUAUUUGAACCCAAAGUAUAACGAGGGGUAUAUUUGGCCCUUUUCCGAUGGUACAGGGGUAUAUUUGACCCUUUGCCAUACUUUGUAAUGUAUUCCAUCUCCCUUUUUCUCUAAGCCUUGUGAAUACAAUUCCAAGUAAUGUUUUAUGCCUUCAAUGGGCAGGAGUUGAGACUCUAAAAGGUGAGGUUCAUAGCUUUGUUGGACGUAGAGAGUAGAAAGAUUUGUAUGGAACUUUCUUGAAUAUUUAUCUUCAAAUGCUGAAACGAGCUUGAAUGGUGAUGGACAAAGCAGAUGCAGAGUCAGAGAGAAGAAGCAAGUUCUGCAAAUGUUUGAUAUAGAAGAAGAAGUCAGUAGAGGACAAAGCAUUUGAAUGUGCACCUGAGAGCCCUAAGAUAUGCCAUUUUCUCUGCAAAAUUCUACUUCAAAGUGUGCAAGAGACAAUCUUGAUGCAAUUUUACUCAAUAUAUGGACUGGCUUCGCAUUGUAUUGCGGGAACUAGCUUUGGUUCAUGUGUGAAAGAUUCCACAGGAGUUUCCUUGGACUUCUCAAUUGAUAAGGUGCUUGUUCUUCUACUCAGGACUUUUGUUCAACCUUUAGAUCAUUGACAGUACAUUGUUGAACUCUACUUUGUAAUUUAUGAAAAAUUAAUUUGUGAGCGAUUUUAGUUUG